ACAACGAUUAAACUACAUUAUCAAAGUUGCCGCUGGCGAAAAUAUUUCAAACGCAGCGGCAUAUUUUUCGG